rnacentral:rRNA from 1 species
GAGACUCUGUGCGCGUGCAUAUCAAUAAGCGGAGGAAAAGAAACUAACAAGGAUUCCCUUAGUAACGGCGAGUGAAGCGGGAAGAGCUCAAAUUUGAAAUCUUCAAGGUUCUACCUUGACGAAUUGUAGUUUAUAGAAGUGUUUUCUGUUAGUGAGUGGCUAAAAGUUCUUUGGAAUAGGACAUCAUAGAGGGUGAGAAUCCCGUAUUUGGUCAUUCCUCCUAGCGUUGUGAUACACUUUCAACGAGUCGGAUUGUUUGGGAAUGCAGUCCAAAAUGGGUGGUAAAUUUCAUCUAAAGCUAAAUAUUGGCGAGAGACCGAUAGCGAACAAGUACCGUGAGGGAAAGAUGAAAAGAACUUUGAAAAGAGAGGUUAAACAGUACGUGAAAUUGUCAAAAGGGAAGCGUUUGACACCAGUGUUGUUUUUCCGAAAAUCAAUUACGAAUGUUUUAGUUUUUGAGGAAGUUAUGACUUCAUCGGCUUGCUCCUUUCUUUAUGAAACUUUCUUAAUGCACUUUUCGGUUAACAAGUCAACAUCAAUUUCUUUUGUUGUAAAAGGGUAUGAGGAAGGUGGCUUUCUUUUCGGAGAAAGUGUUUAUAGCCUUGUGCCUCUGCAAUCGGAGAGAUUGAGGUCUGCAGCGUAGAUCCUUCGGGGUUAGAUACAUUUGUGCUAAGUUAUAGCUUUUCAUAGACAACUUGUUGACUAUGUUUAGUCUUGUAGCUUACUCGCUGACGCUAUUUUACCUACGCUUAGGAUGUUGACAGCAGUAUAGACUGU